GUCCUGGUGGUAACACUAUAGUAAGGCAAUACCGCUGACCUAACCAGAUGUAUGUAUGAACAGAUCUCGGCUGGCUGGCCCAGUGUUGAUUCAUACCCACACCAGCAAGUAAUCUAACUGUGUCACUGAGGAUCAACUCUAUGUGUGAACAUAGUGUUGAAAUCGCACCGUCCUUAAAAUCAGCUGUUGAAAUGACGAGGUUCUAUAUGAUUAAGCGCCGCUUCAUACAACCCGGAAGUCAGGACCAUAUCAGCACGAACUGACUGUGGUACUUACGCAGCCCCUCAAUACACAUUGAUACUCGCUCGUCUUGGACUUUCGUUUCUUCGUCUGGUCCGUUAUAAAAUACGUUAAGGUUACAAUCGCGCUCAGAAAUGUUCUUCCGCUACUUGAUCACGUGAUUGGGCAGAUGAGCAUCCGGAGCUAGGAGUAUUACUGAGGUGUGGCUGGAAGAUCAAGCAUCUAGUACGUGUGUGAUUCCCUCCCAGCCUCUAUCCACCAUAGAAGAGACAUGGAGGACCCUGUCCCAGUCGGAGCAGCAAUUACUGUGCAGAGUUGCGUCCCUUUGGGACACAGCAACCAUUUAUAGUGGAAUCGAACACUAGAUUCGCCCUAUUGAGUGUUCCUGGCUUUGUCAGCACCAUACCAUGUUAGCUGGUUCCACCAGGGGUGAGAGCUGCAUCAUUUCCAUCUCCUCUCACGUCCAGCUGACAGACUGCCAUAACACCAGAAUACCUUACAUGGCUGCAGUGAUGGAAGAACACUCACUUCCUGUACAGAUGCUUGUCACUAUCAUAGGUUUCAUAAGCCAAACAUUUAAAUAUAGAUUUUGGACUGCAUCAAAUAAUUCAUUUUUCACUGAUUAGACACAUGCACUAUGUAUAAAGUUUUGCUAUUAAUUUGAAAAUGUCUAUUUUUGGACAGGUAUUCUCAUGUCCAGAAAACAAGAAGAUAAAAUAGUCUGCCAAGAUGGAA